rnacentral:rRNA from 1 species
AUGCCAGCGAGGUUAAGAUGUCAGAAGCAUCGGAGCCGAAGGGAAACCAAGUCUGAAUAGGGCGUAGAGUUGGUAUUAGUAGACCCGAAACCGGGUGACCUAUCCAUGUCCAGGUUGAAGGAACCGUAAAAGGUUUUGGAGGACCGAACACACAUGUGUUGAAAAACGUGGUGAUGAGGUGUGGAUAGCGGAGAAAUUCCAAUCGAACUCGGAGAUAGCUGGUUCUCCUCGAAAUAGCUUUAGGGCUAGCCUCGAGCUGGAGUCUAACGGAGGUAAAGCACUGAACUGACGCGGGGCCCAAAAAGGUUACCAACUCAUAUCAAACUAAGAAUGCCGUCAAGAUACCCUCGGGAGUCAGUCUGCGUGAGAUAAGUCGCGUGGACAAAAGGGAAAGAGCCCAGACCGACAGCUAAGGUCCCAAAGUACGUGUUAAGUGGAAAAGGAUGUGGGAUUUCAUAGACAACUAGGAUGUUGGCUUAGAAGCAGCCAUACAUUUAAAGAGUGCGUAAUAGCUCACUAGUCGAGAAAACCUGCGCCGAAAAUGUAACGGGGCUAAAACACGACACCGAAGCUACGGAUUUCCUACAAGGUAGGAAGUGGUAGAGGAGCAUCCUGCAAGGACGAAGCCAAAGUGAGAGCGAUGGUGGACGAAACAGGAGAGAGAAUGCCGGAAUGAGUAGCGAGAUACAUGUGAGAAACAUGUAGGCCGAAUAUCUAAGGAUUCCUGGGUAAAGCUAAUCUUCCCAGGGUUAGUCGGGGCCUAAGGCGAGGACGAAAGUCGUAGUCGAUGGAUAACAGGUUGAUAUUCCUGUACUACACAUAAUCAGAACUGUGGGGACGCAGGAGGAUAGGGAAACCGGGGAAUGGAAAGACCCGGUCAAGCGUAAAGCUGUGGGAGAUAGGCAAAUCCGUCUCCUGUAAGUGAAGACGUGAUGAGGACUGAAAAAAAGUAAGGAAGUUUCCGAAUCCACACUGCCGAGAAAAGCCGCUAUUGCGUUAUGUGUACCCGUACCGUAAACCGACACAGGUAGAUGAGGAGAAAAUCCACAGGCCGACGGGAGAAGUGUUGUUAAGGAACUCGGCAAAAUGACCCCGUAACUUCGGGAUAAGGGGAGCCUCGCAAGAGGCCGCAGAAAAGAGGCACAAGCAACUGUUUAGCAAAAACAUAGGUCUAUGCGAAACCGUAAGGUGAAGUAUAUGGGCUGACGCCUGCCCGGUGCUGGAAGGUUAAAAGGAGAGGUCAGCGCAAGCGAAGCUUUGAAUUCAAGCCCCAGUAAACGGCGGCCGUAACUAUAACGGUCCUAAGGUAGCGAAAUUCCUUGUCAGGUAAGUUCUGACCCGCACGAAAGGCGUAAUGAUUUGUGCACUGUCUCGACAACACGCCCGGUGAAAUUGAAGAACCAGUGAAGAUACUGGUUACCCGCAACAGGACGGAAAGACCCCAUGGAGCUUUACUGCAGCCUGAUACUGGGAUUCGAUGAUAUAUGUACAGGAUAGGUGGGAGGCUAAGAAGCGAGAACGCUAGUUUUCGUGGAGCCGCCGGUGGGAUACCACUCUUAUGUCAUUGAAUUUCUAACCUGCAUCCGUAAUCCGGGUGAGGGACAAUGUCAGGCGGGCAGUUUGACUGGGGCGGUCGCCUCCUAAAAGGUAACGGAGGCGCUCGAAGGUCACCUCAGAAUGAUUGGAAACCAUUCAAAGAGUGUAAAGGCAAAAGGUGGCUUGACUGCGAGAGCGACGGCUCGAGCAGGUACGAAAGUAGGACUUAGUGAUCCGG